rnacentral:rRNA from 1 species
GUGGCCCAUUGAAGUUGGAGUGCUUGCACAAAAAUGGAUUUGGAUUUUCCACCUAGUGGCAAACGGGUGAGUAACACGUGGGUUACCUGCCCUUAAGUUGGGGAUAACAGUUGGAAACGAUUGCUAAUACCGAAUGUGCUCUACGGAGUAAAGAAGCCCUUAAAGCUUCGCUUAAGGAUGGGCCUGCGGCGCAUUAGCUUGUUGGUGGGGUAAUGGCCUACCAAGGCAACGAUGCGUAGCCGAACUGAGAGGUUGAUCGGCCACACUGGGACUGAGACACGGCCCAGACUCCUACGGGAGACAGCAGUAGGAAUAUUCGUCAAUGGGGGAAACCCUGAACGAGCAAUGCCGCGUGAGUGAUGAAGGCCCUUCGGGUUGUAAAACUCUGUUGUUUGGAAAGAAUUGUAAGAUUAGGAAAUGAAUCUUACUUGACGGUACCAUUCAAGAAAGCCACGGCUAACUACGUGCCAGCAGCCGCGGUAAUACGUAGGUGGCGAGCGUUAUCCGGAUUUAUUGGGCGUAAAGCGUGCGCAGGCGGUUUGUUAAGUCUAAAAUCAAAGCCCGAAGCUUAACUUCGGUUCGUUUUAGAAACUGGCAGGCUUGAGUAUGGUAGAGGCAAACGGAAUUUCUAGUGUAGCGGUAAAAUGCGUAGAUAUUAGAAGGAACACCAGUGGCGAAGGCGGUUUGCUGGGCCAUUACUGACGCUCAUGCACGAAAGCGUGGGGAGCAAA